AAGCUAGUUCAGUUUGAGUUGGACAAUCCAAGUCAUGUGUUGGUGGUCCACGUGGCACCGCGUUUUCUGUCUACUUUUUACAUGGGCGUUUACCCGCUCUUAUCUCACGCUCACUUUUUUCCUUUUCUUCUUCAUCCUCCCCUUUCCCUAACCUCCUUCUUCUUCACUACUAAUCUUCACAACCAUAUCAUCCCCAAAACAAAAAAAAUCCACGUAUUUGAAAUCCGACGCUGUUUUUGAUGGAUUUAGCGUGCAACGAUGAACCACCUACCGCGAAUAUUCGGCAAUAGAAAGAAGCAAGCCUCCGACAUGGACCCGACAAAGAAGAAGAAGAGUAAGAGUAAGAAGCAUCAGCAGCCGAAGCUCGAGCGCCGCAACGCCGCCAAGCACUUCGAAUACGACGCCGGAUCGUUGUGCUCGUCGCGCGAUGAGUACGACGCCUCGACGUCGUCGUCGUCGUCGUUGCACUGCACGCGCUCGAUGGAGCUCUUCGAUCGCAAGAGCUUCCGAAUCGAGGGCGUGGAGGGCGAGUUCGACCAGAUUUGCCGCAGCCUCGGCCUCUCCGGUCCCGAGGACUUCUCCAUUCCGGCCGCCGCCUGGGAGGCCAUGAAGCUCCGUUGCUCCUCGGACCUACUUCCUCGCCGCCCGAAGCACGGCGGCGAGGAAGAGCAAUUCGACGAAGAGCCGAAGGAGAAGGAGAAAGAGGAAGUGGAAAUUGCAGUAUUAGAGAGCGAGGAUCGAGCUAGGGUUUUGGAUGAAUGUGUUGUUCCUGCUGAGAGCAGUGGUUGCUGUGGUGGAAUUAAGGGUUUUCGGCCUCCGAUGUUGAAGCCGCCGCCGGGGGUUAGGGUUUCGGUGGUGGACGACGCCACGUGUUCCACGUGGGAUUUGAUGCGGGAUUUUGCGCCGAAAGGGGAAGGAGGAGGGAAGGAUAGUUACGUGGAAUUAAAUUCUUCUGAUGAUGAAGAUGAUCAUGAGCGAGAAGAGAAGGAAGAAGAAGAAGAAGAAGAAGGGGAAGUUGGUGGAGUGAGAGUGGAGAGUGUAGAAGAGGAAAAUGCGGCGGCGAUUGCGGAGAUUGUGGGUGAUUUUUCAGGGUUUUCUACUUCGAAUGAAGAUGAUUCUUCUAGCACUACCACUGGACCUAGGUCUAAUAAUAUAUCUCCCAAUGGGAGAAUCAAGCGUGUUAUUACCGCGGGUAACUGGCAGAAGGGUGAGCUUUUGGGGCGAGGUUCCUUUGGUUCUGUUUAUGAAGGGAUUUCUGAAGAUGGAUUCUUUUUUGCUGUAAAAGAAGUUUCACUACUUGAUCAGGGGAAUCAGGGAAGGCAAAGUGUAUAUCAACUGGAACAGGAGAUUGCACUUUUGAGUCAAUUUGAACAUGAGAAUAUAGUUCAAUACAUUGGCACCGAAAUGGAUGCAUCAAAUCUGUAUAUCUUUAUUGAGCUUGUAACCAAAGGUUCCCUUCGAAACCUCUACCAGAGAUAUAAUCUUCGAGAUUCUCAAGUAUCUGCCUAUACAAGACAGAUUUUGCAUGGUUUAAAGUAUCUUCAUGACCGAAAUAUUGUUCACAGGGAUAUCAAAUGUGCAAAUAUAUUGGUGGAUGCAAACGGAUCUGUUAAGCUUGCAGAUUUUGGAUUGGCAAAGGCAACCAAAUUCAAUGAUGUUAAGUCCUGCAAGGGAACAGCAUUCUGGAUGGCCCCUGAGGUUGUAAAAGGGAAAAACACAGGUUAUGGGCUUCCUGCUGAUAUAUGGAGUCUGGGAUGUACUGUGUUGGAGAUGUUAACGGGCCAAAUUCCAUACUCUCACUUAGAAUGUAUGCAGGCAUUGUUUAGAAUUGGAAGAGGUGAGCCUCCUCAUGUGCCUGAUUCUCUUUCAAGAGAUGCACGGGAUUUUAUUCUGCAGUGUCUAAAAGUUGAUCCAGAUGAACGCCCCAGUGCUGCUCAACUCUUAAACCAUACCUUUGUCCAAAGGCCACUGCAUUCCCAGUCUUCUGGUUCUGCAUCUCCUUAUAUUAGAAGGGGUUAAACUUGUCACCUCCAACUGUGAAAGAUAAUGAAGUCAAAUUGGAUCCACAUAUCAUACACAAGGCUUCAGUUGAGUCGAGGGUGGGGUUCAAAUAUAGUGUCAUUCUUAUUUAGGGGCGAAUGUUCAUGCAAAUUCUGAAAUAACAGGGGGGGAAAGCAGCAAAACCUUUCUUACCGGUCUCUGGUGGUGGAUCUUUUGUUUUUUUUUUUUUACUUUUAUAUAUAUAUAUAUCUUUUAUAAUGAGAAGAGCAGCCAAAGCCUUACAUUUAGUGGUUUGCACAAAGUCCCAACAAAAUCUGUCCAAAUAAAUUGGUUACUUUGUUCAGAGAUCUGACAUUCAUUGGAUAUAAAAGUAUCUCCAAUGUUCAAUCUUCAAGUUGCUAGAGUUGGUCUCGGGUGCAUUGUUGUAACAAUAGUUCAUUGUGUUGUGCCUUCAGAAUUCAGAGUUUGCUUGCUUGUAACUUUACUCAAUUUUUUAAGCACUGCUUUGGAUCUAGCAAUGGAUAGGCAAUCCAGAGAGAUAACUCACCCUUUGGCUUGAAUGCCAUAUUUGAGAAUUAUGGUCCACGUGUUAUCUAAUUAAUGUGAUAAUUUGUCUGUUGUAGCAGUGUAAAAUAUCAACGUCAAGCUGUAAUAGGUUGUUCGAGGCUUCCCCUUUUGUUUGUUUAGUUAGCAUAUGAAAGAAUUCUUAGGCUAAACCUUUGGGAGCGGUAGUAACAAGGAUUAGAUGCCAUGCUAUAUGUACAUAUCACCUUUAUUAGUAAGCAAUUGUUUGUUUAUAUCUUUAUUUUGUUCC